AUACGGAGGGUGCAAGCGUUAAUCGGAAUAACUGGGCGUAAAGCGCACGCAGGCGGUUGGAUAAGUCAGAUGUGAAAUCCCCGGGCUCAACCUGGGAACUGCAUUUGAAACUGUCUGACUAGAGUCUUGUAGAGGGGGGUAGAAUUCCAGGUGUAGCGGUGAAAUGCGUAGAGAUCUGGAGGAAUACCGGUGGCGAAGGCGGCCCCCUGGACAAAGACCGACGCUCAGGUGCGAAAUCGUGGGGAGC
rnacentral:rRNA from 1 species